rnacentral:rRNA from 1 species
GGAAAGGCGCGCGAUACAGGGUGACAGCCCCGUACACAAAAAUGCACAUGCUGUGAGCUCGAUGAGUAGGGCGGGACACGUGGUAUCCUGUCUGAAUAUGGGGGGACCAUCCUCCAAGGCUAAAUACUCCUGACUGACCGAUAGUGAACCAGUACCGUGAGGGAAAGGCGAAAAGAACCCCGGCGAGGGGAGUGAAAAAGAACCUGAAACCGUGUACGUACAAGCAGUGGGAGCACGCUUAGGCGUGUGACUGCGUACCUUUUGUAUAAUGGGUCAGCGACUUAUAUUCUGUAGCAAGGUUAACCGAAUAGGGGAGCCGAAGGGAAACCGAGUCUUAACUGGGCGUUAAGUUGCAGGGUAUAGACCCGAAACCCGGUGAUCUAGCCAUGGGCAGGUUGAAGGUUGGGUAACACUAACUGGAGGACCGAACCGACUAAUGUUGAAAAAUUAGCGGAUGACUUGUGGCUGGGGGUGAAAGGCCAAUCAAACCGGGAGAUAGCUGGUUCUCCCCGAAAGCUAUUUAGGUAGCGCCUCGUGAAUUCAUCUCCGGGGGUAGAGCACUGUUUCGGCAAGGGGGUCAUCCCGACUUACCAACCCGAUGCAAACUGCGAAUACCGGAGAAUGUUAUCACGGGAGACACACGGCGGGUGCUAACGUCCGUCGUGAAGAGGGAAACAACCCAGACCGCCAGCUAAGGUCCCAAAGUCAUGGUUAAGUGGGAAACGAUGUGGGAAGGCCCAGACAGCCAGGAUGUUGGCUUAGAAGCAGCCAUCAUUUAAAGAAAGCGUAAUAGCUCACUGGUCGAGUCGGCCUGCGCGGAAGAUGUAACGGGGCUAAACCAUGCACCGAAGCUGCGGCAGCGACGCUGAUGCGUUGUUGG